GCUGUGGUGGCUCAGGGGCGGGUUUCUUGCCUUCCAUGCAGAAGAGCUGGGUUCGAUUCCCAGCCAAUGCA
rnacentral:tRNA from 1 species